rnacentral:rRNA from 1 species
UACGAAGGGGGCUAGCGUUGCUCGGAAUCACUGGGCGUAAAGGGUGCGUAGGCGGGUCUUUAAGUCAGGGGUGAAAUCCUGGAGCUCAACUCCAGAACUGCCUUUGAUACUGAAGAUCUUGAGUUCGGGAGAGGUGAGUGGAACUGCGAGUGUAGAGGUGAAAUUCGUAGAUAUUCGCAAGAACACCAGUGGCGAAGGCGGCUCACUGGCCCGAUACUGACGCUCAUGCACGAAAGCGUGGGGAGCAAACAGG